AUUUGUACAUGUCAAAUAUUUGUUGUUUCUAAAUUCAAAUUCUGUAAAUAAUGAUUGACAUUUAUGCAUAAACUAUGAAAAGGGUGAAUAAACAAUUGUCUGUAUUUUUUUUAAUCUAUUGAAAAUGUUGAAAAGUGCAUUAAGCAUUAAUAGAAAUUCCUCAAAUAUGAAUUAUGCGUGCGUUCAGAAAUAAUGACAAAUUAUCAACAGUUACGCGUGUGUUCAGAAAUUUAUUUUGUGUGUAAGUUUCUAUUCACGUUUUCGAACAAACGAUGCUCUUUCAAUAUAGUCUAUUGGUGUGAAUGACAUUGACAUUCGUAUUGCGCGUUUUUUAAAAUAUUAUUAUGCAAAAUUAAAUGUAUAUUUUUCAAUAUUUCUGAGAGAUUAUCAUAAUAUUUCUUCGAGUUUUAAAGACUAAGAAGAUUUUUAUUUGCUAAUAAGUGUUUGUUAAUCAAGUUGGAAUUUCGUUUUAAACAAUGCUACCAACCAGACGUACAAGCUUAGGCCGCAGAACUCGAAAUACGGCAAGUCAAAGAAAUAUAAGAGCAAAUCAAACUAAUGAGCAUCGCGAAGCGCGAAAUGAACUUGAACUGAAUCGAUAUCAAGAUAGAAAUGUUGUGUUUAAUCCAGUGCCUGUUGAAGACUAUACAUUUUUGCAAAUAUAUUUUAUGGACAAUUCAGCAAGAGAAGUCGAUCAGCGUUGCGCACACAACAACUCAGUAAAGAGAUCCAUUGUGAUGAACAACUUCAAACAUUUUUCCUUCAACACAAUGAAUUAGUUGCAUUAGACCGAUGCAUUAGACCGCAUGCCAUCAGAUAAUCACAAAAUUGUCAUCAGAGCCGAUAAGGCGCCUGCAGGACAGUGAAAUGAUUGAAUCCUAUGAAAUAAACACUAUUAUGAAAAUAUAUUUUGUUUUUUUUUAAAUUAGUGAAGUCCUUUUCAGGUAUAGUGAGAUCAGGAAAUUAUAGAUUCAUUUUUAUAUGGAGGAUAUUUAUAGAUUCCAAUUCAAAUUGAAUAGGGACUCAUACAUAACUCAGCUAUACAAAAUAAAGUAGAGCAUCAUUGCUACGCGAAAGCGGUACGAAGUUCGCUGGGUCAGCUAGUUUUUA